UUUGAAAAAAUCUUAAAAUUAAAUUUAAAUAUGAGAAAACAUGUUGAACUUAUGAUAACGCACGAGUUACAUACCUAAAAGACGGGAUGUUAAAUCUAACCGUUCCAGUAUUUAAAUUUA
rnacentral:sRNA from 1 species